UAAGAGUCCAGAUGGGUUG
rnacentral:piRNA from 1 species